CCUUUAUCCUGGCUCAGGACGAACGCUGGCGGCGUGCUUAACACAUGCAAGUCGAACGGAGUGCCUCGGAAAGAGAUUUCGGUCAAUGGAAGGGGCUGCUUAGUGGCGGACGGGUGAGUAACGCGUGAGGAACCUGCCUUUCAGAGGGGGACAACAGUUGGAAACGACUGCUAAUACCGCAUAACAUAUCUGCAUCGCAUGAUGCGGGUAUCAAAGAUUUAUCGCUGAGAGAUGGCCUCGCGUCUGAUUAGCUGGUUGGUGAGGUAACGGCCCACCAAGACGACGAUCAGUAGCCGGACUGAGAGGUUGGCCGGCCACAUUGGGACUGAGAUACGGCCCAGACUCCUACGGGAGGCAGCAGUGGGGAAUAUUGGGCAAUGGGCGCAAGCCUGACCCAGCAACGCCGCGUGAAGGAAGAAGGCUUUCGGGUUGUAAACUUCUUUUAAGAGGGAAGAGCAGAAGACGGUACCUCUUGAAUAAGCCACGGCUAACUACGUGCCAGCAGCCGCGGUAAUACGUAGGUGGCAAGCGUUGUCCGGAUUUACUGGGUGUAAAGGGCGUGCAGCCGGGAGUGCAAGUCAGAUGUGAAAUCCCGCGGCUCAACCGCGGAAUUGCAUUUGAAACUGUAUUUCUUGAGUACUGGAGAGGCAGACGGAAUUCCUAGUGUAGCGGUGAAAUGCGUAGAUAUUAGGAGGAACACCAGUGGCGAAGGCGGUCUGCUGGACAGCAACUGACGGUGAGGCGCGAAAGCGUGGGGAGCAAACAGGGUUAGAUACCCUGGUAGUCCACGCUGUAAACGAUGGAUACUAGGUGUGCGGGGACUGACCCCCUGCGUGCCGGAGUUAACACAAUAAGUAUCCCACCUGGGGAGUACGAUCGCAAGGUUGCAACUCAAAUGAAUUGACGGA
rnacentral:rRNA from 1 species